rnacentral:rRNA from 1 species
UACGGGGGGGGCAAGCGUUGUUCGGAAUUACUGGGCGUAAAGGGCUCGUAGGCGGCCAACUAAGUCAGACGUGAAAUCCCUAGGCUCAACCUAGGAACUGCGUCUGAUACUGGAUGGCUUGAGUUUGGGAGAGGGACGCGGAAUUCCAGGUGUAGCGGUGAAAUGCGUAGAUAUCUGGAGGGACACCGGUGGCGAAGGCGGCGUCCUGGACCAACACUGACACUGAGGAGCGAAAGCCAGGGGAGCAAACGGG